UACAGGGGGUGCAAGCGUUGGUCGGAAUCAUUGGGCGUAAAGCGCACGUAGGCGGUUUGUUAUGUCGGAUGUGAAAGCCCUUGGCUUAACCGAGGAAGUGCAUCCGAAACUGGCGAGCUAGAGUACUAAAGAGGAUCGCGGAAUUCCCGGUGUAGAGGUGAAAUUCUUAGAUAUCGGGAGGAACACCGGUGGCGAAGGCGGCGAUCUGGGUAGAUACUGACGCUGAGGUGCGAAAGCGUGGGGAGCAAACAGG
rnacentral:rRNA from 1 species